AGCAGAUUUCAGCUGGACUCUGUUGUCCUUGGGGGUUUUUGUGGCUCAGAGCAGGAGUUAGAGGAGGAUGGCGGCCAUCAAGGCGCUGCAGCAGUGGUGUAAAGUCCAGUGUGAUGGCUACAGAGAUGUGAACAUCAUCAACAUGACCACCUCAUUCAGAGAUGGACUGGCUUUCUGUGCUCUCAUCCACAGAUUCAGACCGGACCUCAUAAACUUUGAGUCCCUGAGUAAGGACAAUGUCUAUGACAACAACUGCUUGGCUUUUCGUGUGGCUGAGGAUCAUCUGGGGAUUCCAGCUCUCCUGGAAGCAGAGGACAUGGUGGCUCUUCCCAUCCCAGACCGACUCAGCAUUCUCACUUACGUCUCGCAGUACUAUAACUACUUCAACGGUCGCUCACCUAUCGGAGGAGUUGGUGGAGUCAAACGGCCGGCAGAGGACUCAAAAGAGGAGCCAUCAGAAAAGAAGAAUCUCCCCAUCGCUGCCAAAACCUACAUCCCAAAGACGCAUCCAGUGUCGUCUUCUGUCUCCUCAAAAGUUGCUCAGAACCGUCCACCAUCACAUUUCAUACAGAACAGUAGCUCAAACAAGCAUGUCUCAACCGCUCCGACACAGCAGCGUGCCAUAGAAAAACACACCGUAUCCGAAAACAACAAAAUGGCCUCUCCAAGCACUGAAUCAGCAUCCACAGUGAAAACCCCAGGCAGGAAUGCUGAGAAGACCGUUUUAGUCGAGAGCUCCAAUAAAACCGGCACCCUGAACAGUAAGUGUGCAGUGUGCAGGAGUCACGUUCACUUGGUUCAGAGACACCUAGUGGAUGGGAAACUGUACCACAGGAGCUGCUUCAAAUGCUGUGAAUGUUCAGCUGCUUUACAGUCCGGGGCGUAUACAUCUGGCCAACAACCUGGCGCACUGCACUGCCCUUCAUACCGCUGUACUCAGAACGGCCUUAAGUCUUCAGCUAAGCAUAGUGGGUCGGAUGCAAUUGGAUUCAAACCUGAGAGAGAGGGGAGUAGGCCAUCGCCUCUGCAGAAUUCCUCAGUUCUGAUCAGCCCUAUUAAACCUGAUCCCAAGUCAAUUCAGCCAAAUCUGACCCCAGAACCAUGGACUGCUUCAGCACUAAGGACUCAAGCUGCCAGGCAGAGGUUUUUUCUUUCCACCUCAGAGGCCUCUUCUACCCAGAACAUCAUUGUACCAAAGUCUGAAGAAGAGAAGGAGCAGGCGCAGGCAUUGAUCUCUCAGAAAUUGGCCGAAGGAAACCGCAACAAUAAUAACAAAGCUUAUAGCUGUGGGCUCAGUCCAGACAACAAAUCGGUUGAUGUCCUCAGCUCAGAGCAGGAGAAAUAUGGCUCAGGAACAGAAGUCAAAGCUAGCUGUUUCUGUAUUUCUCCCACCAACUCCAGUAGCAUGGAGCCCCUGUGGCUGAGUGGCAUAAACAAAGAGCGCACUAGACCUCCCUCCUCUUCCCUCUUCAUCACCGGAGCCAAAGAUGUGGGGUGCUGUGAAGGCCCAAAGCUGAAGAUGGCUUCAAAUGAACCAAGACUAAAAACAUUUGCUGAGGAUAAUGCUGUGACUCCUGAAGAAAGCAAAUUCCUCUGCAAUGAUAACCAGCUGAAUCACCAGUACACUACUACUUCUGUGCCGGGCUUCCAGCGCACCAACAUUGUACAACUCGGCACUCCUAAAUCUCCAGCCACAGAGUCUGCUGUCUCAGGCUCUAAAUCUGAGAGUUCCUCAGUGAGCUCAUCACCCAGAUGCACACUGCCAUCCACAGAUCAACACCAUGGAGGCUUGGCUGAAUCUAGUUGUAUAUCAGGAAAUUACAAAUCCUGCCCAUCCCUCCAGCCUCUAGUGGAUGACGGUAUCUCCUUGAGACCUUCUACUAUACAGCCAGGAUGGCCUGACUCUGCAGAACAUGCUGAAAAUGGAAGUGUGCCACUCGAGAACAGUUCAGAACCUGAAACUAAGCCACUCGCAAUCAAGUCUCGCCACAUCCCAGUCGAGCAGAUCACUAAGGAGCUGGAGGAAAUUGAGAACAGCCUGAGCGAUUUGGAGAAAGCAGGAAUUGACCUCGAGAGAAGACUGCGCAGCUGUGAGGAAGAGGGUAGCGGGGACAUUUUGGCAGAUCCGUUAAUGGUGGACUGGUUCAACCUGAUUCGGAAGAAGCAAAGUUACAUACGGAGGGAAUCUGAGCUCAUGUACAUAGCAAAAACUCAAGAUUUAGAGGAGCAGCAGCCAGGAGUGGAAGGAGAGCUCAGGAGACUGAUUAAUAAACCAGAGCAUCUGAAAAGCACUUUAGAAAGGAAGAGGGAGUCUGAUCUCAUGAAGAGGUUGGUGGAGAUCGUGAACGACAGGAAUGCCAUUGUGGACGGUCUGGAGGAAGACAGACGGAGAGAGGAAGAAGAGGAUCAGCAGCUGAAUGAAAUGAUGCACCGACUCGGUCUGCGGAAACUGAAAAGCAGGAGGAAGUCGUCCUUUCUGAAGUUGUUCAGACGCAGAAGUAAAAAUGAAGGAAGGAAGGAAGAAUGAUCCACGUCCAAGCCGGCGACUUGACGCAGCCGUUUCGGCACAAACAACCACCUGAGUUCUUCACAAGAACCCUCAGAAGUGUGGCAGUUUUCUGUAGUGGGAUGGCGAGGUGUUGACGGUCCUCGAGGAGGGUCUCUGAACUACCGUAGUAGUCUAUAGAGAUUUGGAUAUAGACAUCGCGUUCUCUGUAGAAGCCUGUGCUUAUGCUGGCUAAUUAAGCAGUGCAGGAUGUCAGUGAUGCUGGGAGACUUCCCCCAUCAUAGCCGGGGAGCCACUCCUCCGAAGAGGAACGUGGCGUGAGCUGGCUUUUGUCAUCUCUUCAUCUCUGUAGGGGGAGAAGACAACCUCAGUAACAGCAAUCACAAUCACAUUUGCACUAUACCCUCUUCAACAUAGACGGCCCACAAUGGUGUAAAUUAAGCUCAGAAUGGUGCAUGAGCCAUCGUUUUGGAAAAGGCAGGCAGUGUCCU